UUGAACGCUGGCGGCAUGCCUUACACAUGCAAGUCGAACGGCAGCACGGGAGCAAUCCUGGUGGCGAGUGGCGAACGGGUGAGUAAUACAUCGGACCGUGCCCAAUCGUGGGGGAUAACGCAGCGAAAGCUGUGCUAAUACCGCAUACGAUCUACGGAUGAAAGCAGGGGAUCGCAAGACCUUGCGCGAAUGGAGCGGCCGAUGGCAGAUUAGGUAGUUGGUGAGGUAAAGGCUCACCAAGCCUUCGAUCUGUAGCUGGUCUGAGAGGACGACCAGCCACACUGGGACGGAGACACGGCCCAGACGCCUACGGGAGGCAGCAGUGGGGAAUUUUGGACAACGGGCGAAAGCCUGAUCCAGCCAUGCCGCGUGCAGGAUGAAGGCCUUCGGGUUGUAAACUGCUUUUGUACGGAACGAAAAGGUCUUGUCUAAUAAAGAAGGCCCAUGACGGUACCGUAAGAAUAAGCACCGGCUAACUACGU
rnacentral:rRNA from 1 species